CGUCGGCAAUUUGCAGUAUAUCACAGUAUAUUUAUUGUUUAUGAACAUAUACAUAAUCCUUGAGAACUAGACGUAUAUAAAAGCUCAGAUUUUAAUCGAUGUUGUUGCAGACGUCUUCAUCUUCAGCAUCGCUCGAGUGUUCAAAGUUGACAUCGUUUUAAAUCGUGAAGAACGAAAAAAGUUUCCAAAAUGUUCAAACUGUUGGUAUUCACUUUUUUGAUGAUCGUAUUGGUCGCAACCGUUAAUGCAAUUCCGGAUUGUACAGGAAGAUGGUGUCACCCGAGUAAAGGUUACGGCUGCUGCGAGGCUUAUGUUUGUUCAAACAUUUUCAGACAAGGUACUUGUCGGUUUAAUUUUCCCUAAUAAAUGGGAAGUUCAUUUUGUUACAAGUUAUAGGCAAAUGUAUCACUUCCGUAAUAAAUAAACUGAAUUUUUCACACAAAAAAAAAA